AUGUGGGUGUGUCCCCCCCAACCCAUGUGUGUCUUGUGCUGUCAUCAAGCAAGGGUUGGCUUUAGUGGCAGGAGAGCAUUCGCUCAUGAAAAACCCUCCAGUCUCUGUGGCAUUUUUCAACCGUCUUUAAACCUUCCCCACUCCCAUUAUUUUAUUUCAAACUGGCAGCAACCUGGUGAAGAGGCACCAGCCACUGAGAGGCAGAAGCUGGGGUGCACACGGCAGCCCACUGACCAGAGAACAUCCCCACCCAGCACAUGCGGGGUGCGGCCUUCUGUGGACCCCAGUGCGACAGCGAGAGUGACGCGGAUGACAAGGCGUCUGUGGGCUCCGAGAAGCUCUUUGCCCCGGCAGCUGAUAAAGGCCCCACACUGGGCGACAAGUCCGAGGCCAAGGCUGGGGCAGCACCCAAGGUCUCAGGCCUGGAGCGCAGCCGUGAGCUGAGCACCGAGCCGCCCUUCCUGCCCCCCGUGCACAGCCCGCGCCCGCCCUGCCCUCCCCUCCGCCGUCGGAGCCCCGUUGCCCCAGCCACCUCUGGU
rnacentral:lncRNA from 1 species